rnacentral:rRNA from 1 species
UACGUAGGGGGCAAGCGUUGUCCGGAUUUAUUGGGCGUAAAGGGCGCGUAGGCGGCCACCGCAAGUCGACUGUGAAAUCUCCGGGCUUAACCCGGAAAGGUCAGCCGAUACUGCGGGGCUAGAGUGCAGAAGGGGCAACUGGAAUUCUCGGUGUAGCGGUGAAAUGCGUAGAUAUCGAGAGGAACACCGGUGGCGAAGGCGGGUCUCUGGGCCGAUACUGACGCUGAGGAGCGAAAGCGUGGGGAGCGAACAGG